UACGGGGGGGGCAAGCGUUGUUCGGAAUUACUGGGCGUAAAGGGCUCGUAGGCGGCCAACUAAGUCAGACGUGAAAUCCCUCGGCUUAACCGGGGAACUGCGUCUGAUACUGGAUGGCUAGAGGUUGGGAGAGGAUGCGGAAUUCCAGGUGUAGCGGUGAAAUGCGUAGAUAUUGGGAAGAACACCGAUGGCGAAGGCAGCCAUCUGGACCGACACUGACGCUGAGGCGGCGAAAAGCGUGGGGAGCAACAGGG
rnacentral:rRNA from 1 species